GACAGGGAAAAAAAAAAGGUUUGUUAAAAAAACCAUAGCUGAAAAUUGACUCAGGAGAGAACGCUGAAUAUGAUUUGAAAAUUGAGGAAACACAUCUGACAGGACUUCAUGUAGUUAGCUGGUACGCUGAGAUAAGAUAAAGCCCGAGUAAAUGCUCUAUUGUUGUGGUAACAGUACGCAUGUGGCAUGAGCUGCCUUUUUUGUUUUCUUUUUCUUUUUUUAAUCGUCAGACAAAAAUCGACUGAAAGAACAGUGCUUUUAAUAACUCUACUGUUGCCUCAUAGAUUAUCGUAUGCGACUAUUAACGGCACAGUUUCAUAAUAGACAGUUUUCCACUGUCUCAGAGAUGACACUACUGGUUACGUCAUCACAGGGCACAGAACACAUCAUGGAGCAGCUUACCACGGAGUGUAGUAAGGAAUAUGAUAAUUCAGAUGUCACAACCUGCACAAAGCCAAAUUGACUUCCAUCUAAACGUAUAGAAGUUCAGACUAUAGGGCUGUCCUUCCAAGUAAUUGGCUCAAACCAUCCUGAGGUUGCCGUGUGCCUAAUAAACAGUGAUUCUGAGAGCUAGAACACUUUAAUAAUAACCUUCACUCAAUCAGGUUACAUUUGCAGCAGAUGCACUUAUCCAGAGCAAAGUGUUUUGCUGUCUCCAUUAAAAACACAUUCUCAAGCUGGUAGUAAUGGGUCCGGAUCUAAGAAUACUGUCCGCUAAAGAAAAGUUAAGGCUUCUGCAUACUUCAUGCAGAGAUGAUGUUUGAAACUUCCAUGAAAAAUAGGACGUAAUUGCGGAGUAAACAGACGUCACAUGGAGGCCUCACUGGCUGUGUCAUGGUCGUGGCAGCUGGGCAAACUUCACGACGCAGGCCUAUGAUUGGUUAUGGCAAAUGACGCAAUCCCCAGCCUGUGAUUGGUCACGACAAACGAAGCGUGCCCAAGCUGAUUCAUUCCAAGAUGGAUGAUUUGAAGAUUGGCUGCCAUAACAGGUAUGUAGAUAACUCUUCAUCAAGGUAUUACACACAAAUUAGUAUAGUAUAGUAUAGUUUAUGCUGUCAUCACUUUGCAGCAGACAGUCUUCUACCUCUAGCCAGCAAAUUGUCAUAAAUUAUUUACAGUGCCACCUGCAGCACAGGAGCACAUACUGCAAACUGCAAAGAAUGUGGGUUUAUAAACUGACGGAGGUGGUUUUGUUUUAGCAUAACCCUCUUCGAUGUCUCUGCCUUAAGUAGGCAAAGUCAUUUAGUACAAUGAGAAACAAAAACAAAACAAGGGUCAAAGGGUUUUUUUAAAAAGUUAUUUAUUAGUGCUCAUUUAAGAGGUUGGUAAAAAGGUAGGUGUUCAGGACAGAAAAUACUAUUGCAAGUCUUAUCAUCUUAGGAGAUGGUGGGUCCAGUCAAGCUGAGCUAGCAGCUCAAAGGGAACAUGGUGCAGAGUGCUUUAAGGUAGCCUGGUCCUGGUUCAUAUUUGACUCUGUAAGCAAACGUGUCUGUUUGUUUGUUUUUUAAUCUGGUACAUGCAGCUACAUGGAGCAGGUGGAGGGAAUCCAGCAAUGGAAUGAUGGGAGAGAACAUGAGGAGACUGAAAAGAAGUGGAGCAGUUGCAGGGAUCAGGUGGCAUGCAGGAUUAGGGUCACGGGAGAGUCUGGAGUAUUCCAGGGAACUUGCAGAACAAGGCGGAGGAUGCCCUGGACGGGGUGCCAAAACAUCACAGGGUACAGUCUCACAUACACACCCCGGACAGUCUGGAAAGAAUCACUGGGAAGGAAACCCCAGAAGCACGGGGAGAACAUGCAAGCUCCGCACACACCAGGCAGAGGCAGAAUUCGAACCCCCAACCCCAGAGGGUUCUCCUGUGGAUUUCCAGUUGAAUCGACCUUCCUUGCGUAACCUCUCCUUUUCAGCGGCUGCCAGAAAACGCAGGUAAAAAACACAAACACAAACGUUAGGAAGUCCACUACAAUAGAGGCCUUAUGUUGGAAAGUUGUGCUCGUUGCAGUACACGCACAAGUGCGUAAUUAGGAACACACUCUCGCACAGAGCAUGUUUGUGCACAAGUGGGAGGAGGCUCGGGGAUCAACCAGGCUUUUUUACCAGCUCCAGGGAGUUGUUGGAUUUCCUCCUUAUAUUCGCCUGCCACUGAUUGUGAUCCAAGGACAAAAGUCUUUGUGUCAAAUGGACAGAAUAAAGCAGCGCUUUUCUUUUCUUUUUUUUCUUUUUUUUUUUUGCAGCAUGGGGUUGGUUUCCUUUUAUCCUCUUAAAAAUGUGUUUAACCAGAAAUUAAUUUGGAAAUAUGCCCAAAGAAGAAAAAACAAUCAAGCAUUGUCAGUGUAAUUAAAUUGAUGUGUGUCAUGAUGGUGCAUUUUUGGGUGGAUACCAAGAUGCAGUAGAAGCAGUGAUGGUAUUACAUGCUAAUAAAAGGAGAAAAUUCAUGUAGUCUUACUGCAGUAAACCUCCAGCUGUCAUCUUUCAGCUGUAAUUUUGGUAUAACUGGCAAGUAGCUUUUCAACAGAAAUGGGAGGGAAAAUGCACAAUUCUGAUUGGUUAAUCCUGUUUUUCGCCAUAGAAGCCAGCAGCCAAUCAAAUGUUAUUAAACAAACUAAGGGAUGCAUUCCUUUGACGUACGAGGUGGUUAAAUACAGAGAAAUCGUAAUGAUGCCUUUGUUUCCCUCUUAUGAACAUAAUUAUAGCUCAAUUUCUGUGCAAAUCAGUCUUAUUUGACACGCUGUAAGUGUAUGUUAAACAAGCGCUCAAAUAAACGUUUGGACCGGUGAUAAAAUAUUUCAAACCUGAAAUCCCCUUCUUAGCUACUUCUCUGGCUUAUAGCACUUUAUCAGUCACAUGACUUGAUUUGCUGUUGUUUUCCAGGUGUCACAGUCAUGUGAGGAACCACACAGACGCCAACACAAACAAACUCAUACAUCCAUGUUACCAUACCAGUUACUAUAAAUAAGUAUUAUAAGCAGUCACACCUACACCACAUUCCUAAUAAAACCACCCCCUCCCUUCCUACUAGCAGUGCUAAGUAUUCUGUAGAAACUCUCUGCCCAUCAUUCAUCCGUGCCUCUCACGUUCGCUCGUUACGUAUUCAGGCCUUUUAAGGGACCCUAAUCACUCCGAAUGCUUGUAAUCGUAAUCGCUGACGUCAACCACCAAUUUACACCCCUUUAUCUGUCACUAGUAAACAAUAGUCCAAACGGCCAUCCAAACAGCGUCAUGAUCCAAUUGGCACCGGUUGUGGGAGGACACAAAGCCUGAGAAAGAAAAGAGAGAAAAGAGUCGAGUGGGAGGGGGAUUACACGACCUCCCAGGUCAGACGAGACACUGAGGUGAAAGCCUUUCUACCAAAAACCCUUGAAUACUCUCAAAGCUCCAUGGCAAUGUGUUAUUCGUGAGCUCACAGAGGCCAAGGUUCAGCUGUGGCCUAGAGAUAGAGAAUAGCGCAGGAAUUUCGGGGUCACUCUUUUUUUUUUCUCUCGCACAUUCCAAUACGUUUUAUCCACAGCGAUUCAAUGAACAGUAGCUUUAAACAGCCAGAAGCGCUUACUCAAGGACACUAGAACAAGGUCCAGUUUGAACCCUGAACCAAAACAAUGCAAUCAACCUUUUCUCCUCAUCACACACACAGUGAAUUUGCGAACUAUGUCAGGUUCUGUCGUUGAUGUAAGUAGCACUGUACGUCAAUAAUGCGACAUCUCUGUGAGGGCUGGUCGUGAUAUUAAGCCAACAGAGAGAAAAAAAUUCGAACUACGUUGUAUCAGAAACUCAUUAAUAUUAUAACCUUCGAGCAUGGGGGUCUCAUCAUAGGGAUG